UGAUUCAAAGCCAUGCCAGUAUUGGCCCCUUUCCCUCCUCACUCCCCACGACCUAUCCUGAUCUUUACAAUUCCUGCUGUGUGCUUUGCCUUCUUCCUGCGACUUCUAACCUUCAGGUUGGUGCCAAUGUGGGUCUCAGGGAUCAAAGUCAGGUCACUGGACUUGGCUGAAGUGUAUGUGCUGACUUACUACAGAGCUACUACUAUUUCACUGACCCCAUGUGGUCCUUCUUAUGAGAGAGGAACCAGUCAUGAAUUAGCAUGAUGGAAUCCAAGGAAGAAUACAGCUACAUUUUCAAUUAACCAAAGAACUGAGGAGGCUGGAGAGAUGGUUCAGUAACUAAGAGAACUGGGCUGUCCCUUCAGAGGACUGAAUUUCAAUUUCCACAGGGAGACUUUCGACCAUCUCUAACUCCAGUUCCAGGGGAUCUGAGGACACCCAUAUGCAUAAACAAAAGUAAUAUUCUCUCAAAGUUAGUGAACUGAUUCACGAUGGUGAUGUAUGAGGAAUGUGACACAUGGUACAUGUCUGCCCUUGACAUGAUCUACCUGUGAUCUGUGGUCAAACAAGCUUGGUGUAUAGGACUUUAGAUUCCUCAAAACAAAGAAAAAUCAUGAAUUUCUAUUCUGUUCCCCAUGAAGCACGGGCUUGGUACAGACAGCAAGCAAGUCCUGUGAAAUAAAGAAGAAUCCUGACCACUGAGACACUGUCUCUGUUCCCCAUCGAGGUCUCAUUUCAGGUAUUUCUUUAUAAGGAAGCAUUACUGAUCCUAAACUGCCAUGCUUUCCUUCCAUAUUCUUUGUCUUCCUUGAGGCUGUGUGAAAACUAAAUCAUUUUUGCUAUGAGGAAAUCAUCUGGGCCUCAAGACCCAGAUGAGUGAAUAAGAAGACAGUGAAUUCUUGGUCAAAAGCUCCAGCAUGAAAUGCUAGCAAAAAACUUUUGGUUAAAACUGAAAUUCUAAUUCAACAUGAAUUGUAAUUAGCCUAUCAGAAAUUGUGUAAAAAUCAUUAUUUGAAUCCUCACUAUUUGAACUUAAUAAAAGUCAUAUUUAUGUUCCCAGGCAAA